rnacentral:tRNA from 1 species
GCCUCCGUGGCGCAAUCGGUUAGCGCGUUCGGCUGUUAACCGAAAGGUUGGUGGUUCGAGUGCACCCGGUGGCG